rnacentral:rRNA from 1 species
UACGAAGGGGGGCUAGCGUUGCUCGGAAUCACUGGGCGUAAAGGGUGCGUAGGCGGGUCUUUUAAGUCAGGGGUGAAAUCCUGGAGCUCAACUCCAGAACUGCCUUUGAUACUGAGGAUCUUGAGUUCGGGAGAGGUGAGUGGAACUGGCGAGUGUAGAGGUGAAAUUCGUAGAUAUUCGCAAGAACACCAGUGGCGAAGGCGGCUCACUGGCCCGAUACUGACGCUGAGGCACGAAAGCGUGGGGAGCAAACAGG